CAGGCUCACUGGGGUUUUGAGUGAAGACGAGAACUGGCCGGAGCUGGGCUUUAGAAUAUUUGUCAGGCAUUCCAUUUGUGGGGGCCGAGAGGUUCAUGGAGCAGAUAUUUCCAGAGCCACUUUUGUGUGCUAAGCACCAUGGGUUUGCAGAGAUAAGAUGUGACACGGUCCCUGCCCUCAAGCCACUCACUGCUAUAGGGCAGAACACCAAGUGCAGUGACAUGCAGGUGCUGCAGAGACUGGACCAGGGAACUGAGGAGCUCGUGAGCAUGUGGUGUGAAGGGAUCAUGGAUUUGAAGAGGACAGUCUGCUUCGUGCCUGUCCAGAUUCCUGCCUGGUUCCUACACCCACGGAAUGGGAGCCUCGGGCUUUCUGUCUGCAU